rnacentral:siRNA from 1 species
CCUAUCGAGAAAACUGCCACAGAA